rnacentral:rRNA from 1 species
AGUGAACGCUGGCGGCGUGCCUAUACAUGCAAGUCGAACGGACAAGUAAGAGCUUGCUCUUAUGAGUUAGUGGCGCACGGGUGAGUAAUGUAUAGCUAAUCUGCCCUACACUAGAGGACAACAGUUGGAAACGACUGCUAAUACUCUAUACUCCUCUCUAGCAUAAGUUAGAUAGGGAAAGUUUUUCGGUGUAGGAUGAGGCUAUAUUGUAUCAGCUAGUUGGUGAGGUAAUGGCUCACCAAGGCUAUGACGCAUAACUGGUCUGAGAGGAUGAUCAGUCACACUGGAACUGAGACACGGUCCAGACUCCUACGGGAGGCAGCAGUAGGGAAUAUUGCUCAAUGGGGGAAACCCUGAAGCAGCAACGCCGCGUGGAGGAUGACACUUUUCGGAGCGUAAACUCCUUUUGUUAGGGAAGAACAAUAACGGUACCUAACGAAUAAGCACCGGCUAACUCCGUGCCAGCAGCCGCGGUAAUACGGAGGGUGCAAGCGUUACUCGGAAUCACUGGGCGUAAAGGACGCGUAGGCGGAUUAUCAAGUCUCUUGUGAAAUCCUAUGGCUUAACCAUAGAACUGCUUGGGAAACUGAUAAUCUAGAGUGAGGGAGAGGCAGAUGGAAUUGGUGGUGUAGGGGUAAAAUCCGUAGAGAUCACCAGGAAUACCCAUUGCGAAGGCGAUCUGCUGGAACUCAACUGACGCUAAUGCGUGAAAGCGUGGGGAGCAAACAGG